GCGUUAUCAACCUCGCAAACCAGGCACUCUACUUCCGCUUCCCUCUCUGCUGCAGCGUGUUUGCACGCUCUCUGCUGCAGCGUGUUUGCACGCUCUCUGCUGCAGCGUGUUUGGGCGGGAAGCGGAAGUAGAGAGCCUGGCUUGCGAGGUUGUCGCGCUAU
rnacentral:miRNA from 1 species